rnacentral:rRNA from 1 species
UCGGGAAUUUUGGGCAAUGGGCGAAAGCCUGACCCAGCAACGCCGCGUGAAGGAUGAAGUAUUUCGGUAUGUAAACUUCGAAAGAAUAGGAAGAAUAAAUGACGGUACUAUUUAUAAGGUCCGGCUAACUACGUGCCAGCAGCCGCGGUAAUACGUAGGUGGCAAGCGUUGUCCGGAUUUAUUGGGUUUAAAGGGUGCGUAGGUGGCCCUGUAAGUCAGUGGUGAAAUAUCUCAGCUUAACUGAGAGGGUGCCAUUGAUACUGCAGGGCUUGAGUACAGAUGAGGUAGGCGGAAUUGACGGUGUAGCGGUGAAAUGCAUAGAUAUCGUCAAGAACACCGAUAGCGAAGGCAGCUUACCAAGCUGUAACUGACACUGAGGCACGAAAGUGUGGGGAUCAAACAGGAUUAGAUACCCCUGUAGUCCCUGAGCGGGCUGGCAAGGCGCAU